AUUGAACGCUGGCGGCAGGCCUAACACAUGCAAGUCGAGCGAGCGGCGGACGGGUGAGUAAUGUAUGGGGACUGCCCGAUAGAGGGGGAUAACUACUGGAAACGGUGGCUAAUACCGCAUACUAUCGGAUAACCCAUAUGGGAUUAGCUAGUAGAUGGGGUAAAGGCUCACCUAGGCGACGAUCUCUAGCUGGUCUGAGAGGAUGAUCAGCAACACGGGGAAUGGGAUACGGCCCAGACUCCUACGGAGGCAGCAGAGUGGAAGAAUGCACAAUGGGCGCAAGUCUGAUGCAGCAAUGCCGCGUGUGGGAUGACGGCCUUCGGGUUGAAAGCGGCUUUCAGCCAUGACGCGGUAGUAGCAGAAGAAGCACCGGCUAACUACGUGCCAGCAGCCGCGGUAAUAC
rnacentral:rRNA from 1 species